UGGUUCCGGCAUCGAUGAAGAACGCAGCGAAAUGCGAUAACUAAUGUGAAUUGCAGAAUUCAGUGAAUCAUCGAGUCUUUGAACGCACAUUGCGCCCUCUGGUAUUCCGGAGGGCAUGCCUGUCCGAGCGUCAUUGCUGCCCUCAAGCACGGCUUGUGUGUUGGGCCCCGUCCCCCCCGCUCCGGGGGGGACGGGCCCGAAAGGCAGCGGCGGCACCGCGUCCGGUCCUCGAGCGUAUGGGGCUUCGUCACCCGCUCUUGUAGGCCCGGCCGGCGCCAGCCGACCCCCAACCUUUUAUUAUUUCUCAGGUUGACCUCGGAUCAGGUAGGGAUACCCGCUGA
rnacentral:misc_RNA from 1 species